rnacentral:rRNA from 1 species
UACGGGGGGGGGCAAGCGUUGUUCGGAAUUACUGGGCGUAAAGGGCGCGUAGGCGGUUUGCUAAGUUGGAUGUGAAAACUCUGGGCUUAACCCAGAGCCUGCAUCCAAAAACUGGCAAACUUGAGUACUGGAGGGGAAAGCGGAAUUCCUGGUGUAGCGGUGAAAUGCGUAGAUAUCAGGAGGAACACCGGUGGCGAAGGCGGCUUUCUGGACAGUAACUGACGCUGAGGCGCGAAAGCUAGGGGGAGCAAACAGG